rnacentral:lncRNA from 1 species
UGCAGAUACCACGAAGACACCCUCUGCAGAUACCACGAAGUUACCCUCUGCAGACACUGUGGAGGUACCCUCUUCACUGACCUCAAAGAGACUCUCUGCGAUGGCCAUGAAGCCAAAGACAAAGACCCAAGAUAUAAACCAGAAGCAGCAAGACAAUGAAAAAUCUUGUUUCUCCCUUGACCUGAUGUUUGUCAACCCAAACCAGUUAACUCUAGGUAUCCAACGUGUCCCUAUUCCAGAGGCCACAGAGGCCACAGUCCCAGGGACUCAGGUUAUGUCUUGAACUACCAUACAAUAAACAACUGACUAGA